CAGUAGCCGCGGUAAUACGGAGGGGGCUAGCGUUGUUCGGAAUUACUGGGCGUAAAGCGCACGUAGGCGGCUUGGUAAGUUAGAGGUGAAAGCCUGGAGCUCAACUCCAGAAUUGCCUUUAAGACUGCCGAGCUAGCAGGUGAGAGAGGUAAGUGGAAUUCCGAGUGUAGAGGUGAAAUUCGUAGAUAUUCGGAAGAACACCAGUGGCGAAGGCGGCUUACUGGCUCAUACUGGACGCUGAGGUGCGAAAGCGUGGGGAGCAAACAGGAUUAGAGACCCCCGUAGUCCCUGUCUCUUAUAA
rnacentral:rRNA from 1 species